CAGUAUCCAUGCCAGCAACCAAAGGAAGACAGCUAUGAAGGAUUGUAAUUGUCAUCAGGAGAUGCUGAACAUUUCUCAGCGCAUGCUUGAGGAGAGCAUAAAGAGAAUGAAGUCUUGCAUGAAAUCAGCUCAUCACUGAAAUUUACUGCUGGAAAGACAUACUUGGACAGCUUGCUGGACCAGACAAAUAUUUAAAAGCGGUGGCAUAGACAAAACAAGUCUAUACAAGAGCACCCCCUUGCGGGUGCAGACCGCUCAUCUAUUUUCUUUCUAAAGAAAAUACUGAGGUUGACUGUUUCAACAUUGUCCAGGAGUUGAAGGAAAAAAAGGUGUGCCACCAACAAACAAGAGGAGAGGCUACCAUUGAAAUUCCAACUGAUGACAAACCGAUUCCACAGGUCAUAAUUGGAUCGGUAAAGGCGGUCGCGACCCAAUCAAUCAUUCAAGAAGGAGACAUGGUACUCUGCGAUGUGGAGCGUUACCAUGAUGAAUGGCCACAAGUUGCACAAGUCUUAAACAUUGAUAGAGACAAAUACAAGAUCCUGUGGUACAAGGGGUCCAUGACAGGGGCAUGGACACCAGCAACCAGGCGUGUAAAAGGAGCCAAAGGAAAAACAGAGACAUAUGAGGACAUUGUGAGUCAAUCUGAAUUAUGGUUUUCAGGUUUCAGAUUGACUCCGGCUGGCAACCUUACAAAAGUCACAAAAGAC